ACUCAAAUGAAUUGACGGGGAGGCGCACAAGCAGUGGAGCGUGUGGUUUAAUUCGAUACAAAGCGAAAAACCUCACCAGGGUUUGACAUGUACUUGCUAAGCCUAAGAAACUAGGCCUCCUUCGAGGGUAGUACACAGAUGCUGCAUGGCUGUCGUCAGUUCGUGGCGUGAGCUGUCCCCUUAAGUGGGCAAACGAACGCAACCCGCACCGUAUGUUAAAUAUCUCAUGCGGUACAGCCGUCCUUUGGACGGAGGAAGACGCGGAUGAGGUCAAGUCAGCACGGCUCUUACACCCUGGGCUACACACACCCUACAAUGCCGAAAAACAACGAGUUGCAAGCUAGUAAUAGCAAGCUAAUCUCUGAAAUUUCGGCCCAGUUCAGAUUGAGGGCUGCAAUUCGCCCUCAUGAAGUCGGAAUUGCUAGUAAUCGCGGAUCAGCAGGCCGCGGUGAAUACGUUCUCGCCUCUUGUACACACCGCCCGU
rnacentral:rRNA from 1 species